UKSGUAGUAGGAUGGUCCACCUAUUAUUUACUCUUUUUAUGUUGGUGUAUGUCUGGUUUGAUAUUAUUGUUUAGUAAUGUAAGUUUGUGUAGUUUUAGUUAAGCUAAGUCUAUGUGCUGCUUAUAAGAGUUUUUGUGUGUUACAUUGAUAGGAAAUUGUUGUAAUAU
rnacentral:rRNA from 1 species